rnacentral:rRNA from 1 species
UAGCCAUGCCGCGUGAGUGAUGAAGGCCUUAGGGUCGUAAAGCUCUUUCGCCUGUGAUGAUAAUGACAGUAGCAGGUAAAGAAACCCCGGCUAACUCCGUGCCAGCAGCCGCGGUAAUACGGAGGGGGUUAGCGUUGUUCGGAAUUACUGGGCGUAAAGCGCGCGUAGGCGGAUUAGAAAGUUGGGGGUGAAAUCCCGGGGCUCAACCCCGGAACUGCCUCCAAAACUGCUAGUCUAGAGUUCGAGAGAGGUGAGUGGAAUUCCGAGUGUAGAGGUGAAAUUCGUAGAUAUUCGGAGGAACACCAGUGGCGAAGGCGGCUCACUGGCUCGAUACUGACGCUGAGGUGCGAAAGUGUGGGGAGCAAACAGGAUUAGAUACCCUGGUAGUCCACACCGUAAACGAUGAAUGCCAGUCGUCGGAUAGUAUACUAUUCGGUGACACACCUAACGGAUUAAGCAUUCCGCCUGGGGAGUACGGUCGCAAGAUUAAAACUCAAAUGAAUUGACGGGG